rnacentral:lncRNA from 1 species
UUGACAUCAAUAUCUAGGGCCAAAACAUAAGAAAAGCUGAUACUAUCAAGACAAAUGUUUGUGAAGGAUGUCUGGACAUCUUCCAUCAACGGUGUGAAACAAAUUCUGGAAAUAGUCAUUAGAUGCCAUUGUGAGUACUAAGAGGAUCAUUAGAAUUUUCUUAAAAUUAAAAAUACAUUGUGGCAUCACGUUUUGCCAUCUCUCUCCUUCUGCUGGGUUUUGGUAAAGAGCUCUUUCUCUGGAUGUAAUUUGUUAUAAAUGCAAGUUAUUCUGAGGCAUCUUGAUGUGAAUUCUGGUAUGUUAUUACAGGAUUAAAGUGUUAACUAUGGAGAAGAAUACAGGAACACUUGAAAGGGCCAACCAUCAAUAGAAAGGAAAAUUGUUACUCUGACUCAUCUUUUGUGAAGAACAAAUUCAUUAAGAGGUUCUUAUGUGGCUGUUACGCUAUUUCCUUGCUGAACUUUUGUGCUGGGGGCCUGCUGUGUCCUGACUGCUGUGAAAAUUUCCCCAAAGUAGGAGCAUGCUGUGCAAGUACUUCUCAUGCCUGAUUCCCACCUUUUGGAAUUUAAGGAUGCUACAAC